ensembl:snRNA U6 U6 spliceosomal RNA
GUGCUUGCUGUGACAGUGCAUAUACUAAAAUUGGAAUGAUAUAGAGAUUAGCAUAACUCCUGCAUAAGGAUGAUAUGCAAAUUUAUGAAGCUUCUUAAGUGUAA